UGGGGAAUAUUGCACAAUGGAGCGAACUCUGAUGCAGCGACGCCGCGUGAACGAAGAAGGCUUUCGAGUCGUAAAGUUCUUUUAUAUGGGAAGAUAAUGACGGUACCAUAAGAAAAAGCCCCGGCUAACUACGUGCCAGCAGCCGCGGUAAUACGUAGGGGGCUAGCGUUGUCCGGAAUCACUGGGCGUAAAGGGUUCGCAGGCGGAAAUGCAAGUCAGGUGUAAAAGGCAGUAGCUUAACUACUGUAAGCAUUUGAAACUGCAUAUCUUGAGAAGAGUAGAGGUAAGUGGAAUUUUUAGUGUAGCGGUGAAAUGCGUAGAUAUUAAAAAGAAUACCGGUGGCGAAGGCGACUUACUGGGCUCAUUCUGACGCUGAGGAACGAAAGCGUGGGUAGCAAACAGG
rnacentral:rRNA from 1 species